rnacentral:tRNA from 1 species
CUUAGAUGGGCUAUAAUUUAGCCCCAUAAACA